rnacentral:rRNA from 1 species
AGGACGAACGCUUGCGGCGUGCCUAAGAAAUGCAAGUCGAGCGGAAGUAGCAAUACUUUAGCGGCGAACGGUCGCGUAACACGUAGCCAACCUGCCCAGAAGACCGGGACAACACUCCGAAAGGGGUGCUAAUACCGGAUGUGCCCAUUUUGCCACAUGGCUUAAUGAGUAAAUCAUUUAUGGCUUCUGGAGGGGGCUGCGGCCUAUCAGCUAGAUGGUGGGGUAAUGGCCUACCAUGGCGUCGACGGGUAGCUGGUCUGAGAGGAUGGUCAGCCGGACUGGGACUGAGAUACGGCCCAGACUCCUACGGGGGGCAGCAAUUAGGAAUCUUGCGCAAUGGGGGCAACCCUGACGCAGCGACGCCGCGUGGAGGAUGACGGCCUUCGGGUUGUAAACUCCUUUUAUCGGGGAAGAAACAAAUGACGGUACCCGAUGAAUAAGCCCCGGCUAACUCCGUGCCAGCAGCCGC